rnacentral:rRNA from 1 species
UGGGGAAUUUUGGACAAUGGGGGCAACCCUGAUCCAGCAAUGCCGCGUGUGUGAAGAAGGCCUUCGGGUUGUAAAGCACUUUUGUCCGGAAAGAAAACGUCGUGGUUAAUACCCGUGGCGGCUGACGGUACCGGAAGAAUAAGCACCGGCUAACUACGUGCCAGCAGCCGCGGUAAUACGUAGGGUGCAAGCGUUAAUCGGAAUUACUGGGCGUAAAGCGUGCGCAGGCGGUCCGCUAAGACAGAUGUGAAAUCCCCGGGCUUAACCUGGGAACUGCAUUUGUGACUGGCGGGCUAGAGUAUGGCAGAGGGGGGUAGAAUUCCACGUGUAGCAGUGAAAUGCGUAGAGAUGUGGAGGAAUACCGAUGGCGAAGGCAGCCCCCUGGGCCAAUACUGACGCUCAUGCACGAAAAGCGUGGGGGAGCAAAACAGGAUUCAGAUACCCUGGUAGUCCACGCCCUAAACGAUGUCAACUAGUUGUCGGGUCUUCAUUGACUUGGUAACGUAGCUAACGCGUGAAGUUGACCGCCUGGGGAGUACGGUCGCAAGAUUAAAACUUAAAUGAAUU